CAAAACAUUUAUGUAUAGCGUUGCUAUAGAAUGCCCAGAAUCCUCAAACAGCACUUAACAUCGUUUAGAGAGGGUCGGGCUGCUUAUGACAACCAGAUGAAGUGAUGAGGCGCGUCAUCCUCGAUCGGACGCUGGAUCCAAACAACAGCCGCAAAGGACGUUUGGGGGACCGAGGUACCUGAGACUGUAUUCGGUGGUGAAAAGCUUUGGUGUGUCAAAGACGCAUGGGCUUAGAAAGCUCUCUACAGCCUGGUGAGAAAAUAACACAUCUUAAUACGGUUGCAUUCAAUGGAUGAUUGCAGAGAACAGAUUCGGAGGCCUCUCACGGAGCGUUUGCGAUGAUGAUAAAAGUGUAUUUUCACCGCGCUGACCAACUUUUACCCCUGGGAGACAUAUAUAGUAAGAACUUACCACAGCCAAUGUCAGGUUACUGCCCAUGUUCUCCAUUUUAGAAAACAUCCUACACAACAGUGGAACGCGCAUACCCGUCCCCACACACACCGUCAUCAGGAGGAAAAGGCUCGAAAGAUACGCAACAGCACCUGACGCCAUCUGAUACACUUCCUUCCGCACUUGUAAGCUGCGAAGCCUUCCUCGAACCAGCAGGUGGACUGUGACAGGGGCGGGGACUGCCUCUGUACACUCAGUUUAACCUGUGACCAAUGGCUGCCACAUGGUAGGCGCUCAACAAAUGUAUUAUUUAUUGAAGUAAAUGACUAAUGAAGAAAAGGGAAUUUUACAGAAACAUAAGGUCUUCUGUAUUUUGAAGUAUCAACAGUGAACUAAUAAGAAAUCUGGUUUCAGUCAGAAUGAGGUAAAGACUGAUCAGAGAAAGAAUUGUCUCAAGUUCACAGGAUUACAACUGGAGUCCCGAAGAGAACACAGGAGUAAACAUUAGACAUUAAUGCUUACCUUUAUUUUCGCUUUAAUUUCCUGAGCACGUACAACUGGAUCCUGGUCAAGACUCUUUUUAGCCUGGGCAUUCAUGAGGUUGUUCAUCCACUCCAUCACUUCAUUAACAGACUUCUCAACCUUUUUCAUCUCAGACUCAUCAAUAUGAUUGUAUUUCUCAUCCUGAAUGGAAAAAAAGCACAGUUAUCCUGUGAAACGAAGUAUUUAACAAUAACAUCUCACCUGACCCAAUUUUCCAUGAAGUUCAAACCUACCUCUGGUCUCAAACACAAAAACAAAUGUCUCACUUAGGAAGAUGUGUUCACAACGAAGGCUCCUCAACUUAGUAUUAGUUUAUUAAAAUCUAGGUUAACUUCCUUGCGAUGUAUAAAAAGACUUACAUUAUUUCUGAAGUCCGCGGCUAUCUUGGCAUAGUGCUGCAGUCUCUGUCCCAGUUCUUCAAACAUUUUUGGUCGUUCCUCAGCUUCUUGAAACCGAACUUUAACUGGAGUGCCAAUUUUCUAAAACAAAAUGUAAUAAAUUAGCAUUUGUCUAACUGCAUCUCAGAAGUCUGUAGUCUAGGGGGAGAGAAGGGCUUACCAUUAAUUCUUCCAACUUGUCAACAUAUGCUUGUUUAGCUUGGUCCUCUCCCUCUUCAUAGAGCCAGUUUUCGGUCUCCGUGAGCAAUCUCAGAAAAUUCUGGUGAUCCUGUAUAGGACACAGAAGAGAAUCCGUAUCAGUUGCAACUUUACCGCAAAAAUUUUCACAGCAAAACACUCAUCCUCAGAAGUGUUAAACGCUAAGUAACCAAUCUUACUUCUAGGAAGGCACGCUGAUUAGCUGGAUUCUCUUUGCUGAAAAGUUAUCAAGGAGCAAUAAACACUACCCGUGCCAUACAUUUUACAUGAGGGAUGAACUGUAAUUCUUUGGCUUCUCUUUUACACAGGGACAUCUGAGAAUUUUUGGUAAGCUGCUUACUGACUUAAUGAUGUACCUCAGAAGUCCAGUGUCGGACAAUCUAUACAUUGAAAUGUAGUUAUGGAAGAGCAGUUCUUUUCCCGUUCUUCAAAGCAACUGGGCCUUGACUAAGUAACUUUCUAUUCACUCCCACAACUACUGAGUACCGAAAGGGAGAUGUCAGACAAGUUGACAACAAUUCAAUCACUGAACCUAAAUCAUUUCCGAACCAAUUCAUGUAAUUAUUUCUACUCUAGCCUGAGGAGGUCUACCCUAUUUUGGGUCAUCUCUCCUUCAGAAUCCAAACCAUCUAAGAAAUUCAGGAAGUGUCGGGGCAGAGCCAAAAACCAAAAGUUUAUGACAAGGUAGCUCAAGGAUCUUAGAACAACACAGACUCCUCCAGGUUUAAAUUCUUGUAACUUCAGGAUUAAUCCCUAAACCAUCCUAAAUUUCUAUCUAGCCAAUUUUUUUCUAAGUCCGAUCUUUCACAGUUGGGCUUCUGGGAUUUACUCAGAGCCACACUGACUUUGGGAGCUUAGAAAAGGGCUAAGGGGAAUAAUGUGCUCAAUAAACUUUGGAACAACUGCAUGAACAAGUCUUAUGGGAUAAAACAAUGACCACAGAGCAGGCAAGGGAACCAGUCAUUAAAAAAAAAAAAAAGGUCUGAGGUCUUUAAAAGCAAGGUUUUUUUCCCUCUUAUUUAUCCCUCUAGCCCCCAAACCUUUAGUGUCACAGACUCUGAGUAAAUGUUUGAUAGGUUCUUUCUUGUGGAUGAUAACAACUAAAGGGUCACUGGGAUAAGUUAGAAUGUAAAAUUGCACAUCACUAAUGGGCCUCUUUCCGAGACUUUGUUUAUACAAUUUCUAUUUCAAGUUUUCUGUUUUCAAAAAGCUCGUUACAUAAUCUAGUAGAGAUUUAAAUGUCAGACUUGAGAUGAAACAGUUUAUGAGAUUAUCUGAAUAAAAACAGAACGUGGGGCACCUGGGUGGCUCGGUUAGUUAAGCAUCCAAGUUUUGAUUUCAGCUCAGGUCAUGAUCUCACGGUUUGUGAGACUGAGCCCAGCAUCAGGCUCUGUGCGGACAGCACGGAGCCUGCUUGGGAUUCUCUCUCUCCCUCUGCUCCUCCCCAUCUUGUGAGCGUGCAUGUGCGCUUUCUCUCAAAAUAAACUCAGAAAAAGAAAACAACAACAACGCUCUACACAUACCUGCUCACAUAUAAAUUUUUCAUAUGGUCCACACAACUUGUCCCUGAACUCAUACACAUAUUCCUCCACCGCAUUUUUAGCAUCGUUUCUUUCCUUUUCCAAUUUAUCUUGCAUUAUCAUCUUACCCUGUCAGAAAACAGAAAAGGUCAAUUCCAGUCUUCUGUUAUCUGUAACUAAAUUUUAGCUAGACUCUGGUGUUAAAAUCAACAAUUAUAUACCCCGCCCCCAAAAGUGUUAACAGUUCUAACAUACACCUCAUGAAUCUUCCAAUAAAUCUUACAAAGUUCUUCAUUUACUAUAUACACAUAGUAGGUUGUGAUUUAAAAAAAAAAAACAAACAAACAUUAGGUAAUAAAUUACAUAGCUUCCGCAUCUCAGGUUUAAUACCAAGGGGGGAAAAACCCAAUCCGCUGUAAUUUAUUAUUUUUUUUUAGGUAGUUAUACGAUCGUCCCCUAUUAGGAUUAAUAUUGGCAAGCGUAUAAUGGUCACACCAUUCUGCCACCAUAUUUGAAAUUAAGGACUAUAAAUUUAUUUACCUACUUAUGAAAUAUAAGUGAGGUAUAAUUAUUAAAUUUCUAAGCACAAUGUUGCCAUCUCAGCAAAAUAAAACAGAAUCUCAAUUAUGUUCACAUAUUCUAGACUACAAAGAAGCACAACGUACUUUAACAGAAAUAUGUAGUAUGGCCUGAAAUACCAAUUGUAUUGUGCUCUGUGCUAGGACAUACUGGCAUCCGAUUUCUUCCAAGAACUUGGGCAAUCAAUUAUAUACCUGGCAGAAUGAUCUACGGUACAGCUUUCUUUCAAAAGGAUGCAAAACUAUAAAUAAAGCUUGUUAAAAACAUUAAAUUGGAAAACCAUUAGUUAUGGACUCAUCCUAUUCCUAAAACUGUAUAGAACUUGGGAGUAUGGGAAAGAAGUGUACAUAUUUAUCUAUUAGAAAUAUGGGUAACAGGGCCAAACAACUAAAUACACAGCAGAAUGAAAAAUAUUUACCUGAAGCACUUACCUCUGUCUCAAUAUACAUGUUAAGAAGGUCUUUCCCUAACUGCCAGACCAAGUUGGCUUCAAUAGGCAGCUCAACAUUCACCACCUUUAUUUUGGGUUUUUUAGCUUCUGGAGGCUGGUCAACUUUCUUUUCAUUUACCUUAGGGAAGGGGUAAAAAAGAAGUGGAAAAAUUCUUACAUAAUCCUUGAAACAAUGACAACAGUAUCUCCCUAUCAUACUUACUGAUGACUUAGGCAAAAAUAAAGUCCCUAAACUUUAGAAGAAUGUCGAAGACCGUCUAAUUCCCACCACACAUUUUACAUUGGGCUGCAGUUACAAGUUAAACAUGUCAUACUUUCCUUCAAGAAUUCAGGAUAUUUUUCUCUUUGCAUGGUAAAUUUAAUCUCUCCUGCUAAAGCUUUUCUUCAUAGUUCUCUAAUUUUUAACCCCCUUCAACAAUAUUUCAGACUCCAAAAGUCAAAAAUAUUAUUAAAUUGCCACAUCUUUAAAUAAUAGUCUAGAACCUUAAUAGUAACAAGAUAGAUUAUGACCAAUGCUAAGCAUGUUAGGACCAAUCUACUCCUGUAAUAUAUACUUAAAUCCCUGUAUCCCACUAUUAUACCUGUUGCAAUUAUAAUUAGCACUAUACUGAUGAGUGCCUUUUAAAGUUUCCUGCUGAAUGCGGGGAUUAUAUACAUACACACACACCCAUACGUAUAUGUAAGUAUAUGUAUAAGUAUCCUUAUUCCUAUUAUCUGUCUUUGAGUGAUCCCACUUUUCACAAGCAACUCUGUAAGGUAAAAAGAGACAAAGAGCCUUAAUAUAGAAAGUGAAAUGAUGCAGCAAACACUAACAAUUUACUGCAGUUUUUAAAAAUAUGUAAAUACAGGGCUAAAGAAGUAAGUAUCUCUCCUAUCGCCUUUAAUUUUCCAGGACUUUUCUGUGUUUCCAUUUCUAUAGGCUCCUACUAGCUGAGAUGGUAAAGAACACAAUUUAGGAAACUCAGCUGUAGAACAGACUAGAAAAACCAAGGGGUAUAAAACAUAUACCCUGACUGGCUGGGAUGGCCAAAUAGGAAAGAAUAGCCCAUCGAUACGGCAAACACCACCGGUGGAUAAUUCUGGGGAGUUAAAAAAAAAAAAAAAAAAGGUUGAAGCUCUAGGCACGUCAUAGAAGAAACUGGGACUUGAAAAAGGUUCAGCGGCUUGCCUAAAAUGAUGAAGACAGAGACGGGACUAGAACUCCUGUUUCCCAGACUUAUUUCAGUAUUCCUGAGUCACAGGUCUCAGUGCGGCCAGCUGCCUCACCCACAAUGAUCUUGCCAAUCAGCCCGCAGUCCCCAUGCCUUCUUCACUCUAGUGCACAGACCCCCCAACAGACUAUGUAUGCUCCGGGGGCACGAACCACAAGGAAAAUGAGUUAGAGGACAUCUACACCUAGCAAAACACAGGAGUACGACAGAUAUUUGGGAAACGAAUGGAUGACAGCACAUGUGUGGCAGUGAAGUCAGCAUAAGACUCUCUGACGGUCCAACAUUAAACCGACUACUGACUAAACCAAUACGUCACAAAAUGGCACUCGACAAGGCACGCAUGAAGAAUCUCCAAAGUAGUAUGUGACAGUGUUCCAGAGGGUCUGCUGCCAUCAGUCCCACCUACAACUAAGAAUAUGAGAUGGUGCCCCAUGUUAUGUUCCAGACAGGUACUGAGACCAUCAGCACAAGUCAGUUCAUGCUCAACGCUACGUGAAGGGGAAGGAUGGGGACGGCAGGGAGCUGUUGUGGCAAAGAAAGCAAAGCUGCUUCACCACCAUGCAACUCUGGAAGAGAAGAAAAAGGCGGCUUUCAGAGAGUCAGGAACUAAAGCUCGUAGUAGGACCCCCCCCCCCCCCGCCAGGACCAAUCAGGGCAUGAGAUUAAAAACUGAAAGCUUUUACCAAGUGUAUAAUGUAUUUUUGCCAAUGAACAAUUCUAGAAUUCAUCGGAGGGUAAGAGAGAACCAAAUCACUAAUGAAAGAUUAAUAAUUUACAUGCAACUUGCACAAAAAGUGGAAGUUCUGCAAAGCACAGAACGAUCUGGAGUCACAGUGGAAACUUGGCGGUAUCUAUCGGACCAUGAAUUUUAAAGGUUUGCUUAUUAGAAGCUGUCAUUUAUUCAAGGGACACCACACAAAUCAUUUAGCUUCCAAUACAUACUGUGGAAGCAUGGCAAAGCAAAAUUACUUUGAGGUACGAUCUGGUUGUUACCAGAUCAUAAUUAAUUUGACAGGUCACUUGAGAGGAGAAAAAAGUUUACUAGACUCCUAUAGCCCGUGUAUUUAUCAUCAGACUAAUGCAAGUAAGAACUCAUCACACAGCACUGGGAUGUAGCUCUUUCUGCUCCUCACAUUAGCAGAUACGUCUGGCACCAGAGAAGACAAGAAAUGCCAUGCAUUCAUCUCUUGUUGCUCGGAGCAGCAGUUCAUCAAGAGAAGCUGUCAUGUUUAAAGCAGGAUAUUCAGUUUCCUGAGUUGAGCUUGAGUACCUCUAACUCAUUUUAAUUGAAAAACACAUAAAAAAUUAACAGAAGAAAAAUCCUACCCAGAAUAAGAUAACUUGGUGCUUGCUCUUGAAACUGCAGAUUUAAUGAUAUCAUUAAUGAUCACAUGUUGCAACAUUGUCUAAAGGAAUGAACUAGAAGAGUCACUCACUUUGUCAGCAUCUGGGAUUUUGUUUUCUUCUGAGGUAAGUUCAGGUGAAGGGGGAGACUGUGAGGUUUGUUGACCAUCAGUUUGUACCUGGGGCUGUGUUCCAGCUUCACUGUUGUCUUGCUGGAUAUUUUUCUGAAAUGAAAGCCCAGGCACAAAGGAUGUAGAAAGCAGGUGUACUUGUAUAAAUUUAAUAGGUUAUAGGGCACCCAAGACAGUACGCUCAAUUUCUGAAGUCUUAAUAAGUGGGGGAAAAAAGAGACUGGAUAAAAGCAAAAUAAACACAUGAAAACUCCUUACAAAUCUUAAACCUGUAAGAAAUUCUUUCCACGAUAGCAGUUGAUAUAGUUAAAUAACCAAGUAGUAGGCAUUUUGAUUGAUGUGAUGAGUCAAGAACUCUCCUUUAAGAAACUUUCACCUAGCUUUGUACAGCUCUUAAGCUCUCAAAAGCACAAAAAGUAGGUUGACUCCAGGCCUCUCUCCCAAAAAACAAGAUUCCAAAACUUAAAUUUCACCAGCAGCUGUGAGCAUCUCAACACAGCUCCAUUUCAAUGAAAUGAACAGUUGCAUAAAAUAGCCAACUAUCAGUCAUUCAGGGAUGCAUCAUUUCAGCUUACAGAUACCCAAGACCGCAUCCGUCCCCACCUUCUUUUUGGGAUCCAGCCAUUUCCACCUCAGAAGAUCUCAGGAUAAAGAAUAUAUGCUACAUAACUUCAAGAUUCUAAGGCAGACACUGAAGUAUUCAAAAACAAGGCACUCAUGAUGUAAAUAUACCCAAAAGGCACUAAGAGAUUGAUACAACAGGUAUUAGAAUAAUGGUAUCUGUCGCCAAAUGGCAAAGUCUAUGGCACUGGUCAUUUAACUCAUUAUUUUGAAAUUUUUCUAAAUGAGAAAAUGAAGGCUCAGAUGUAAAUGUUCUUUAAACGUUCUAGAAAUGGUAACAGUGUUAACAGAGUUGUGUGGCCACAGGAUACCAUACUUUCUCACAUGUUAACUAACACAUUACACCACCUGCCUCUUCACGUAAGCUAUUUGUGAUUAUUAUCCAAAAGUAAACUCUAACAGUUAAUCUAUCUUGAAGUUUCUUAAAAUUCUUCUGCACUCAUGCUAACAAAAGUCUAAAUUAAGAACGUGAACAAUAACAACCUUCUAUUCUCUAUGUAGAUACUUCUCUUCCCUCCUCCCACAAUACAGCAAGCCAUGUAAACAAAAGUGCAAACCAUGUAAAUAAAAGCAAGUCCUGAAAUACCAAAGUCAACUUCACAAUUUUUAAAAAUAAUCUUUAAUAUUUGGUAUAUAUUCCACCACAUUAAUUUUUUUAAGUCUUUUUUCUUAAUCAUCAGUCAACACCGCCUUCUCAAUAUGUGGUCGACGCCUUUAAAAAAAUAAUUCAGAGAAACUUUAUGACUCUAGUUAUAUUGUAAUGUGCCAGUUCAAAUUAAGCUAUAUAGAAUUUAAUCAUAAGUCAUCAAAUUCCGGGCUGUGUAUUAUCAUCACCUAGCAAUUGCUAUUAUCACCCUUACCCAAAAUUCUAAUCAAAAUUAAGGAACAUGUAUUUUAACCUUUCCCUACCCUUCUCCUAUAGAAUUAAAUCUACUAUAUAUUCAAACACAAAGGGUGAUCCAGAAACUUACCUCGGUGUCUGAGUUUUCUGCUGGUCUUUGAUUUGGACACUCCAUGUCUGUUUCAACAGAAGAUACUUCAUUCUCCUCAGUUGGGACUUUCUCCACCAUAGAUGCUGUAGAGAUGGUGAAAAUGCCAUGGGUAUUGACUCGCACUUUCACUUUCACUCUAGAUUUUUCUCCAUCUUUCUGCGCAGAAACAUUCUGAACUACGAAGCGGCCUGGAACAAAAAGAAAUUGGCAAUUUUAGAAGUGCAUCUAAAUCUCCGUAAAGAAGUCAAAGGCCCGAAAAUACAGCUUGAAAGUAUGCUAAGUCCUAAAUCUCCCCAAUUUUCUCUACCAACUGAAUUAAGAAUCUUUUUCACUACAAACAUAAACUUAGUUAUAUAGUAUACUUCAAUGCUUUGAGAUUAGUCUUAAUAUGCCAUAAAACCUUCAAAAGCAAGGGCACUCUUGUGAUCGGGUGUAUUUAACAUAGAUAUUGCACUGCUGACAAGCAGUCCCUGCCUCCUCCUACCUUGUUUCUCCAGAUUGGUGGUAAGGGACAAACUAGACUGGAAAAUCUGUUACCAAGUGUAAGGUAGAUGGCUCUCAAGCGAUAUCAAGCACCAGAUGCAUUUUAAUCCCACAGGGUCUUUAGGGAAUACGGUUUUUCUGACUGAAUAAUCAAAACAUUUCCCUAGCUCUUAAAUACGAGAGGUUUUGAUAACACCUGUUUAUCAAAGUCUGAAAUUACUAUGCAAAAUACAGUAGUUCCAGAGCCAUUACUCAUGGGGGGUUAAGAGUGUGGACUCUGGCCUGGGCUUGAACCCAGGCUAUGUGUCCUAAUUCAAGUUAUUUAACCUAUGUUUCCAUGGACAGAGUUGGCAAGUGUUUACAGUGAGCAUGUAAAACUACAGAACCAAGUGCUAAGUGUUAGCUAUCAUCUCCACCAAUAGCCUUAUUCCAGAGAUCACUAAACCAAAAUUAUUUUGAACCUCAUACGUGCAAAGCACUAUAUGGGAUUUAACAGGCCUAUAUUUAAGGUGCUGUCUACACAAACACAGAAAGUUACAUAUUUAAUUACCAGGUCAGUGAAAGAUGUUGGAAUUGACAUUCAAUAAUUAUCAGAUCACUAGAGGUCAGGAAAUAAUUACCCAUAAGACCCAUUUAAAGAAACAGCAUUUACUAUGGGGCAUCCAAGACAAGUCACAGGAGAAAGAGAAAUUCAAGACUGUUCUUUAAGUAUGUCUAAGCUUUUUGGUUUUGGUGGUAACAUGUUAACUUGAUGACAUACUAAAAAACCUGGAUUAUACCCUUUGCAUGAUGGGGAAUUGAUGCAUAGAAUCCAACCUAUCUAUUAAAAGUUCAGUCUCUAUUCAACAAUUUCUUAGCAAUAAAUUCGUAAAAACUGUUUAAAAACAAAACCAAACAAUCUGUGCCAGUACACUUUUAGUCUUAAAUAAUAAGAAAGAAGACACAACUGGUCAGGUCAGACUCCUUUAAACAACUUCAUUACAAAAGGGUAUGGGGCAAGGGUGAGUCUGGAACACAUCUAGAGAUGCUGGCAAAUUUCGCCCUCAGCCUGGGAAAGACACAUGGCCACGCAAAAAGAUGUAUCUGUAGCUCUCCAACAGACUUCCAGUAACUAGGAGUCAAAACAGAUAGUGCCAAACCUCUCCAAGAAAAGUGUACCAAAAAAGAUGUAUUUUUUUCACUGGGUUCUGAGGCAGGUUUUAAGUUGGAAGUAACGUUCCAUCCAGAGGAAAGGUUAACAGUAAAAGUAGGUGCUGAUGCUUUAAAUAGAGACUGUAUCAGAAGAGAAAAAAUACUGAAGAGUCCCUAAACACAUAUAUGUGGAAGUAACAGUGGCACCAGCAAGUCAUUUCAUCUCUACUGGCCAAUUUCUUCAUCCAUAGAAGGAAAAGAUUUCUCCAUCACCAUUAUUCUAAAUCAACGAUGUCUUUACGUGGAAUUCUACUCCACUUGACAUCAAGAAAAAUUUUUACAUUUGUAAACUAAGUCUUUAAAAGCAUAAACACACAAAAUUAAUGGCUCACCUAUUUUUGCUUCUGGAUAUGGAACUCCUUGAGGGUCAGAAUAGAAAGCUUCUAGCUCAAAAGGUCCCCUUCUCAAGAAAGUGAGAACUUUGGAGAAAGGAGCAGCAUGGUUUCGACUAAAUACUUCAUGCACACUAGAGGAAAGGAAAAAGCAUUCAGUAUUGCAAACAUGUAAACUUACUGUGCUACACAAACUGAAUAAACACUCUGAGAUCUCUACCAAUUCUAGCCCACCAUUUAUUAACACCAAAAUGAGAGAAAUAUUUUGAUCAGUUUGGUUGUUCAAAGAUCCCAAUAAUCAGACUCUCAACUGUAAAAGUCAUUUGUUAAUUUUCCUUGAUAUUAAAAUACAGUAUUUGAAUAGUUAUCUUCUGCUACCUACCCUUCAGUAUCUUCUGAAUCAUGGUUCCACACCAGAGAUAUUGGAAAAGGAACUGCAUCCGUGAUGGAAAAUUCUCUAACUUUGAAUGCUGGGGAAAGAAUUGCACACUUAAAAGGAAAAAAGAAAAAGGAUUAUCAGGAGGCUAUGAAUAAAUAAUUGCACUCACCCUUUAAUUAAAAUCGGGUAUCAAGUUUAAAUUCAAAAUCAAAAUUGCUUACGGUACACACUGUCUUAAGUGCAAAGGAUUUAUCAUCUAAAUACUAUGCCGAUCACUAAAUAUAAAGACAGAUAAUACAAUGAAUCUUAGGAUGGCAACAGUUAACUAACAGCAAGUUUCACAGGAGCUUGGGAAAAAACAUGGACCUUUCCAGAAAUGUCCUGACAGCAACUUCAAUUACAAGCUGUACCACUUUUGAACCUGUGUAUAUAUCCACAAACAGCUCUGUCCACAUCAUCUUUCGAAUGUCUAAGAAACUGAAAAAAGAUAAAACCCCAAAUAUUCAUAUUUUCAAGGAAUUUUAUGAAGGAGGUGAUGGUAAAUUCACAUUUGGGGUAGAUGACACCCAACAGACAGGUGGAUUUAGAGUAGUUAUAUAAAAAUGACUAAAUAUGUGACUACGCUAAAAGUCAGUUUCUGAUUAGCAUAGGACCCUUCAAAAGAGAGACCAAAAGUGAGCUCUUCCUCUAAAGAAAUGAUACACUUCCGAUGUUCUGGGGAGUUGGGAGACUUCUUAGGGAAGGGGGCAUACUCCAUUAUCAAGGAAAAAAACAAAAACAAAAACCCCAUGACGAAUCAUGAUGAUACAACAGAUAAUUAACAAUGAGUACCUAUAUGUUCUUCUUUAAGUAUUAAGUAUAGUCCUUCUAAAUAUCUUUGUGUAUAGAAUCUCUUGCUUUGCUUUAUAUCAAAAAUAACUGUACGAACUAGAAUAGAAUUUAAGGAUUAACUUGGAACUUAGUCAAAACUACUUACAUCAGACUGUGAUAUCCUAACUACAGAUGCUGCUUUUCUUAUCAACAACUUCUAGUUUUGGUGCUUUUGCUCUGCCAAACACACUUGAGCCUCUGAGCCACCUUCUUACUUGAUAAGUUAAAAUCAAUUAGGGGGAAGGGGGUCAGCUAUUUUCUAAAAUCACUUGUUAACUAAUACUCCUAGCCCAGGAAAUUUCCCCCAAAUCAAUUCCUUAUUGCACCACAUUGUUAUUCUAAUCCCCCUGUGUGCUUUGUAACAACUGUCAACACCACACAACUGAUUCAUGCUUUACAGUUGUGUUUCCCGUGUCUCCUCAGAAUCAUGCCUAUUCCUAAUCCACAGUUCAAGAAACAUCAGCUGCAAAUUUCUUUUAAUCAGAAACUUCCUAGAUGUUCCAGAUCUGAAAAUCCUGGUCUCCCCACAGCCUUAACAGAUGUUUUUGGAAGUGUACUCCCUUGUGAUAUCUAUUAGACACAAGGCUCUGCUUACUGUAUGAUCCGACCACAAUGAAACAAAGCAGAAAUGGCUUAAGGAACGAGCAGCAAGAGAAAGGAGGGCUGAGAACGUAAUACCUGCAGUGCACAUCCUCUAGCUACUGCUUCAUCCGCAUUGAGUGUCGUGCUAAUAUCUUUUCCAAAGAAUCGGGCAAUUUUUUCUUUCACGGCUGGAAUUCGUGUAGUGCCUCCAACGAUCUCAACCGCACUCACAUCUUCAACUCUGAGCUGAGUCUGUUCCAGAAGGGAAUGAAGGGGAGCUUCUAUCUUUUGCAGGAGGUCAGCACAGAGUUCUUCAAAUUGUGCCCUUGGCAAAUAAGAGGAACACUAUAAAUUUUUAGAAAAAGCAUCUGAAAGCCAAUACUUUGUUCUAUUUUUUUUGAAAAUAAUAUUAACCCAAUGAAUUUGUUUUUCCUCAGACAACCUCCAUUCCGUAUGGGCCAAAUUUAACUGUACUGUAAUUUGUUAACUUUUUAAAAA